AAUGAAAAGGAAAAUGAGAAGAGUAUUGAAAAUUUCAAAAUAGAAGUUAUCGGCGCCAUGGGAAGAAGGCUUGAGUCUAUAACUAAAGCAUUAAUGGAAAAAAGAAAGUUAGAAAUUAGAACUCCUUAAUAAAUGAAACCCAAACGCAAAACAGCCUUGAGAUCCAAUACCAAAACUUCUUGAAUCUCGCAAUCCCUUGAGCUCAGAUAACAAAUGCGUAGCCGAGGAUCCAAUAACAGACUAGCCACUGCUGCGAGUGGCGGUGGUUUAGCUUUCGGUUCUCGGGUUUCGGCUCUUUUACUAGCCAUGUUCGCAACCAUGGCCACAAUUUACGUUGCCGGCCGACUAUGGCAGGAUGCAGAGAGUAGAAUGAAUUUAGUUGAAGAGCUUGAAAAGAGAGCCGGUCAGGCUAAAUCUGCUAUUUCAGUUGAUGAUACCCUAAAACUUAUAGGCUGCAGGGAGCAACAGAAGAAGUUAUCAGCUGUUGAGAUGGAUCUUGCUGAAGCUAGGCAAGCAGGUUUCGCUUUGAAGCAAACCAAGGAUGAUCAUUCUAAGAAGAAUAAGAAGCUUUUAGCUGUUAUUGGAAUUAUUACUACUUUUGGCCGUAAGAGAAAUAGAGAUGCAAUUCGCAAGGCUUGGAUGCCUACUGGUGCAGCUCUUAAAAAACUGGAGGAGGAAAAGGGCAUUGUUAUACGAUUUGUCGUGGGAAGAAGUGCAAAUCGGGGAGACAGUUUGGACAGGGAGAUUGACAGCGAAAAUGAGCAGAAGAAUGACUUCAUUGUUUUAGAUGGACAAGUAGAAGCAACUGAGGAGAAUUCGAAAAAGACGAAAUCAUUCUUUAUACAUGCUGUAGAAAAUUGGAAUGCUGAGUUUUAUGUUAAGGUCAAUGAUGAUGUUUUUGUUAAUACUGAUGUCCUGGGAGCGAUACUUUCCACUCAUUUGGAUAAGCCUCGUGUUUAUAUUGGGUGUAUGAAAUCAGGGGACGUGUUUUCGGAGCCGAACAACAAAUGGUAUGAACCAGACUGGUGGAAAUUUGGUGAUGGAAAAUCAUACUUCCGACAUGCCUCAGGUGAAAUCUAUGCCAUUUCACAAGCGUUGGCUCAGUUCAUAUCAAUUAAUAGAUCUAUUCUUCGAACAUAUGCACAUGACGAUGUCAGUACUGGAUCAUGGUUCAUUGGGCUUGAUGUAAAGCACAUUGAUGAAGGGAAGUUUUGCUGCUCCUCAUGGUCCACAGGUAUCUCUCUCUCUCUCUCUCUCUCUCUCUCUCUCUCAUGCACAAACACCAGCAUCGAAUUUCACAGGGGAAAUGUCCUAGUGUGCUUGGAGUUUCAUAAAGUUAACUUCAAUGUCAAAAUGGUCUCGCUAAUAGACAAACAUUUGAGAGUGAGCUUGAGCUGAAAAGAAACCUAGAUCAAUUUUCUUGGGAGUUCAAUAUUGGCAUUUUGUUCAAUACAUCUGUUGUGGGCUGGGCUCUUCAGACUCUAAGUUCACUGGAGCAAUAUGUGCAGCUGUGUGAUUAGACUGACCUGAGCGAUUCAGUGUCAACUUAAUUGCAUAUUUGGAUGAACUCAAUGGUCAUUCAUAUGGAAUGAACUGAUUCUGGGCCUUGAAAGGUUGGCAUGAUUGAUUGAAGAGGUUUUAUGUUUACCCUUGCCACGAGAAUGAUUAGGAGAUUUUGUGUUAACCCCUGCCUCUGAAAAGCCAUGCAGGAUUUAUUUAAAUAUUUGGAUGAGAGCAACAUACUUGAACCUGAAGAAGAUUUCAAGAAACCACAGGAAAGUUCAGAAUUCUCUAAUUGAUAAUGUAUUAUAGCAGUGAUUCUAAAGUUCAUUCCUAAAUUUGUUAGCCUGGUUUUCCAUCAGCUCAAUUGAAGCAAUUCAGAUUCUUUUGUUCUGGAAACAACAUGCAUUGUCAUAAGGCUUUCCUGAAGAGGUUAUCGUAUAUAUUCUGAGAAUAGUGCUCAAUGCGCUUGUUAUUCAGGAGUUACUCUCUGGCAACAUUUUCUGUCCAGUGGAGGUUCUGGGUUUUUCUUUUUAUAAUUUUUUUACUAUUACUGUUAUCGUUGAUGUAUCAGGAAGAGAGCUCAGCUGCUAUUUGACACUGAUAUAUCAGAACACUUAGCUAUUACUCUGUUUAUUUUAUUCAUUAAUUCAUUGUUUUUUUUUUCUCUUGCCAA